GGCCCGCACAAGCGGUGGAGCAUGUGGUUUAAUUCGAUGCAACGCGAAGAACCUUACCUGGUCUUGACAUAUCUAGAAUCCUGCAGAGAUGCGGGAGUGCCUUCGGGAAUUAGAAUACAGGUGCUGCAUGGCUGUCGUCAGCUCGUGUCGUGAGAUGUUGGGUUAAGUCCCGCAACGAGCGCAACCCUUGUCCUUAGUUACCAGCGGGUUAAGCCGGGAACUCUAAGGAUACUGCCAGUGAGGGAGUGGAGGAAGGCGGGGACGACGUCAAGUCAUCAUGGCCCUUACGACCAGGGCUACACACGUGCUACAAUGGUAGGUACAGAGGGCAGCUACACAGCGAUGUGAUGCGAAUCUCAAAAAGCCUAUCGUAGUCCAGAUUGGAGUCUGCAACUCGACUCCAUGAAGUAGGAAUCGCUAGUAAUCGCGGAUCAGAAUGCCGCGGUGAAUACGUUCCCGGGCCUUGUACACACCGCCCGUCACACCAUGGGAGUUGAUUGCACCAGAAGUGGAUAGCUUAACCUUCGGGGGAGCGUUCACCACGGUGUGGUUGAUGACUGGGGUGAAGUCGUAACAAGGUAG
rnacentral:rRNA from 1 species